AAAUCUAGGUAAGCUUCAUCCGAAAUUGGGUGAUUUCAAAGACCUUACCUCUUUGUGAUGUUCUUCUUGAUCUGGACUCUAAUAGAUUCAAGGGUUUUGCUGUUUUGUGAGGUUGUUCUUGUUCUGGAUUGGAGGAAGGCAUCGGAUCAAGGUAUUGGUAGAUUUCUCUUCUGCCGAUCACUGCUUCUCCACUUCUUGAAGCUGUGGAGGUCACGGGUGAGGAGGCAAGGGACUAUUGAGGUGUGUGUGUGUGCUUGUAGCUUAUGGACAGGGGUCAUGGGGUUGUGAGCUACUGGAUUAGCUGCUUCAUCUUAAGGACUUGGAUUCGGGACGAGUGUCUCGACGUGGGAUUAUUUGGCACGAUCGACAGAUCA